CCAGUCGAUGAUCACUACCGAGGGUGGGCCCUUCCUCGACCCCCGCAUCUCGUGGAAAUCGUGGCCGCUGCGUACGUUUUAAAUUUCACUUUAAUUCGAGUUAGUAUUAACGACUCGUUACGGGGAUUCACGUUGAUCGGCGGAUACGAUGCUUCGUUAAUCCCGCGUUGCAUAAUGCGCGUUUACAUAAACAAGCGUAAUCCACUUACGACGCUUUUAUUUUUAGGGCGAGAACGUCAAGUGGCGUGGUAUCACUGUUUCGUGACGAACAAUGUAUCCUAACGGUACCCUUUUUUUUUGUUUCAGGAUACUUUCCCGAACCAAACUGGAAUUAGCAGCGUGAUAUUGGUUCACUUUAAAUUUCACGUACGCCGCUUUCACGUCGUCCUGACAAUAGCGCUGUUAAUAGCGUCUUUUGAAUGGACCGACUCAUCUCUUCCGGAGUGGCUCUUCCACGGCCCUCCGACCACCCCCGCCUCGGACCGUGCAGUAAAUAUUAUCAGGGGGUAUCCUGUCGGUUCUUCAGCUUCAAGGGAGGUCUACUAACGCGGAUGCGCCUAGGGCCAGCGAGGAUUCCCUGUUGACGCCCUGAAACUUCUCUGUACACAGAACAGUGGCACGCCAGGAGAAAGGAGCGUCGCGCGUGGAAAACGCUGGCUCACUCCUCCAGUUGGCGUGCAGUGGACUCCAAAGUAGUCUCUUCAGGAUCCCUCAGUGCCAAAGGGUUUAGACUCUCGGGCACUUCUUUCGAUCACAUCAAGGCUGAAAGUUACGAUUAGCCUAUGCUAAGCUUGAAGAGGACUCGCCAGGCCACAUCACAGAAUGAAUUAACCAAGGAACCGUGCGAGGGGUGUGUGUGGGGGGGCCUCGGUAGUAAAUCGGCGAGGAAAUCCCCGUUUCUCGCUCCCUUUCCUCGAGACACUCAUGCCAUUCAGGCACCCGCCGUUUUCCGCGCGACAAUUGUCGGGCGCAACGCAAUAAUUGCAUAAUUCCCGCCACACUUGGCACUCGUCAGAGGUGGCCGGGACACGAGUGGUUGAGCCGCCCCGCGCGAAAGGGCGGUGGCGUAGGAAGCCACCGAAUUGUAGGUUGCGAGUUGUGGCUACAAGAAGAGGCACCUUUAUUCCCGAGCAGGAGCCCUGCCUCGAGGGGGAUGAAAUUCGCGGCGCGCGUCUUCGUUUCGGAGCAGAGAGCUCGUAGACCAUGGAUUGAUCGCGGUGGAGUCACGUUAAUCCUCGACUGGUGGCGCGGGAUCAAAAUAACCCGCGCCGCAAGCCUUGGCCCAACGUAUUUUAACGCGAGUCAGUGGAGAGUACUAACAAGAGAGAGUCGGGACAUCAGGGAAGAUCAACAUGAUGCGGCCCGCAAGGUUAAAGCGACGAAAUGACGCAGUAACUUUGGAUUGUUACUUUGGUAGCGACUUUCUCAUGGUAUUAUGUGGAGUAACCGAGUACCACGAGGUACCGAACAGCUGAUCUGUGAUAUCUGACGCGGUCUGACGUAGUUUUCUGCGUGUGUAUGUUCAAGUAAACCCGUGGUGGGUAUCCAUGUCGAAACCACAGGCUCUCAACAACUGUGGAAUCCCGCCUCUUGUAAUAGAGCCGUCGACUUAUGCCCUCUCACGCAUUAACACAAGCAGGCUGUGUUGACGCAUACGGGUA